AUGAACGCUAGCUACAGGCUUAACACAUGCAAGUCGAGGGGCAGCAUGAACUUAGCUUGCUAAGUUUGAUGGCGACCGGCGCACGGGUGAGUAACACGUAUCCAACCUGCCGAUGACUCGGGGAUAGCCUUUCGAAAGAAAGAUUAAUACCCGAUGGCAUAGUUCUUCCGCAUGGUAGAACUAUUAAAGAAUUUCGGUCAUCGAUGGGGAUGCGUUCCAUUAGGUUGUUGGCGGGGUAACGGCCCACCAAGCCUUCGAUGGAUAGGGGUUCUGAGAGGAAGGUCCCCCACAUUGGAACUGAGACACGGUCCAAACUCCUACGGGAGGCAGCAGUGAGGAAUAUUGGUCAAUGGACGAGAGUCUGAACCAGCCAAGUAGCGUGAAGGAUGACUGCCCUAUGGGUUGUAAACUUCUUUUAUACGGGAAUAAAGUGAGGCACGUGUGCCUUUUUGUAUGUACCGUAUGAAUAAGGAUCGGCUAACUCCGUGCCAGCAGCCGCGGUAAUACGGAGGAUCCGAGCGUUAUCCGGAUUUAUUGGGUUUAAAGGGAGCGUAGGCGGACGCUUAAGUCAGUUGUGAAAGUUUGCGGCUCAACCGUAAAAUUGCAGUUGAUACUGGGUGUCUUGAGUACAGUAGAGGCAGGCGGAAUUCGUGGUGUAGCGGUGAAAUGCUUAGAUAUCACGAAGAACUCCGAUUGCGAAGGCAGCCUGCUGGACUGUAACUGACGCUGAUGCUCGAAAGUGUGGGUAUCAAACAGGAUUAGAUACCCUGGUAGUCCACACAGUAAACGAUGAAUACUCGCUGUUUGCGAUAUACAGUAAGCGGCCAAGCGAAAGCGUUAAGUAUUCCACCUGGGGAGUACGCCGGCAACGGUGAAACUCAAAGGAAUCGACGGGGGCCCGCACAAGCGGAGGAACAUGUGGUUUAAUUCGAUGAUACGCGAGGAACCUUACCCGGGCUUGAAUUGCAACUGAAUGAUGUGGAGACAUGUCAGCCGCAAGGCAGUUGUGAAGGUGCUGCAUGGUUGUCGUCAGCUCGUGCCGUGAGGUGUCGGCUUAAGUGCCAUAACGAGCGCAACCCUUAUCGAUAGUUACCAUCAGGUGAUGCUGGGGACUCUGUCGAGACUGCCGUCGUAAGAUGUGAGGAAGGUGGGGAUGACGUCAAAUCAGCACGGCCCUUACGUCCGGGGCUACACACGUGUUACAAUGGGGGGUACAGAAGGCAGCUACACGGCGACGUGAUGCUAAUCCCUAAAGCCUCUCUCAGUUCGGAUUGGAGUCUGCAACCCGACUCCAUGAAGCUGGAUUCGCUAGUAAUCGCGCAUCAGCCACGGCGCGGUGAAUACGUUCCCGGGCCUUGUACACACCGCCCGUCAAGCCAUGAAAGCCGGGGGUACCUGAAGUGCGUAACCGCGAGGAGCGCCCUAGGGUAAAACUGGUGAUUGGGGCU
rnacentral:rRNA from 1 species